GAUGAACGCUGGCGGCGUGCUUAACACAUGCCAGUCGAACGGAAAGGCCCAAGCUUGCUUGGGUACUCGAGUGGCGAACGGGUGAGUAACACGUGGGUGAUCUGCCCUGCACUUCGGGAUAAGCCUGGGAAACUGGGUCUAAUACCGGAUAGGACCACGUCUUGGAUGUUGUGGUGGAAAGUUUUUUCGGUGUGGGAUGAGCUCGCGGCCUAUCAGCUUGUUGGUGGGGUAAUGGCCUACCAAGGCGUCGACGGGUAGCCGGCCUGAGAGGGUGUACGGCCACAUUGGGACUGAGAUACGGCCCAGACUCCUACGGGAGGCAGCAGUGGGGAAUAUUGCACAAUGGGCGCAAGCCUGAUGCAGCGACGCCGCGUGGGGGAUGACGGCCUUCGGGUUGUAAACUCCUUUCGCUAGGGACGAAGCGUUUUUGUGACGGUACCUGGAGAAGAAGCACCGGCUAACUACGUG
rnacentral:rRNA from 1 species